UACGUAGGGUCCGAGCGUUGUCCGGAAUUACUGGGCGUAACGCGUGCGCAGGCGGCUUUGCAAGACAGAUGUGAAAUCCCCGGGCUUAACCUGGGAACUGCAUUUGUGACUGCAUGGCUGGAGUGCGGCAGAGGGGGAUGGAAUUCCGCGUGUAGCAGUGAAAUGCGUAGAUAUGCGGAGGAACACCGAUGGCGAAGGCAAUCCCCUGGGCCUGCACUGACGCUCAUGCACGAAAGCGUGGGGAGCAAACAGG
rnacentral:rRNA from 1 species